rnacentral:rRNA from 1 species
AUUGAACGCUGGCGGCAGGCCUAACACAUGCAAGUCGAACGAGCGGCGGACGGGUGAGUAAUGUAUGGGAAUCUGCCCGAUGGAGGGGGAUAACUACUGGAAACGGUAGCUAAUACCGCAUACUCUCGGAUGUACCCAUAUGGGAUUAGCUAGUAGGUGGGGUAACGGCUCACCUAGGCGACGAUCUCUAGCUGGUCUGAGAGGAUGAACAGCCACACUGGAACUGAGACACGGGCCAGACUCCUACGGGAGGCAGCAUUGGGGAAGAUUGCACAAUGGGCGCAAGCCUGAUGCAGCCAUGCCGCGUGUAUGAAGAAGGCCUUAGGGUUGUAAAGUACUUUCAGCGGGGAGGCGUUACCCGCAGAAGAAGCACCGGCUAACUCCGUGCCAGCAGCCGCGGUAAUUC